UGAGAACCAGAAUUACUCCAGGAAAAGAUACUACUUCUGAUGCAAGUUCUAAUCCCAUACCCCGAAGACGGCUACACAGAGUCUUGUUUGCACAAUCUUGGCAGUCUUGGCUACCCAGUCAAGGCAGGCAGAACUGCAGAAUUCACGAU
rnacentral:lncRNA from 14 species